GACAGAGGGGUGCAAACGUUGUUCGGAAUUACUGGGCGUAAAGCGUGCGUAGGCGGUUUGUUAAGUCCGCUGUGAAAGCCCUGGGCUCAACCUGGGAAUUGCAGUGGAUACUGGCAAGCUAGAGUGCGGUAGAGGAUGGUGGAAUUCCCGGUGUAGCGGUGAAAUGCGUAGAUAUCAGUCGGAACACCGGUGGCGAAGGCGGCUCCUUGGGCCGUUCCUGACGCUGAGGCGCGGAAAGCUGGGGGAGCGAACGGGG
rnacentral:rRNA from 1 species